rnacentral:tRNA from 1 species
GCGGCUGUCGCCUAGUGGUUAAGGCACCAGAUUGUGAUUCUGGGUACCGUGGGUUCAAAUCCCAUCAGCCGCCCCA